CAAUCCCUCAAAAAAUAAAGCUGUACUAUUAGGCAUACUGGAAGAGGUUACAGCGCUCCGCAGGGAAGUAGGAGAACUGAAAAAAACUAUGCCAAGGGGUUAUCCUAUUAUUUUGCCGAAAAACCUUUUAGCAGUCUGGAAAUUGUUCUUUUGUUCGAAAAACAAAUCCAACAAGUUGAGGAGAAGUUUCGUCAACUGAAAUCGGAUUUCAAAGCUGCAUCCUCUUCGAAGGCGAAACCAUUUGUAAAGCAAUCGUGGGGAAAAAUAAUGACAGAUGCGGUGGCUGAAAAAAUGUCAUGGAGAGGAACCGACGCAAAAACUUGCGCUCGCAGUUUAACGAUUGCCUUAAGUAUACGUCAAACCUUCAUACAUGAGAAUGGCGGCGAUGAAGCGGAAUAUAUAUUUAGCUGCAUCGAAGUCAUUUUUCCAAUUUGCCAAUAAUCGCAUGAAAUUAAAAGCUGCUGCACGUAACAAGAUAUAAAAUUAACUUUUUAUGCCUAAUGUUUGUGUGUAAUCAUGAAUUUAUGUCUUUUAUUUACGGUGUGAAUAGGGAAUACACAUUUUAGCAAG